GGGGUUGUGGCUCAGCGGUAGAGCACUUGUCUCACACGUGUGAGGCUCUAGGUUCAAUCCUCAGCACCA
rnacentral:tRNA from 1 species